rnacentral:rRNA from 1 species
AUACGGAGGGUGCAAGCGUUGUUCGGAAUUAUUGGGCGUAAAGCGCGUGUAGGCGGUUGGUUAAGUCUGAUGUGAAAGCCCUGGGCUCAACCUGGGAAGUGCAUUGGAAACUGGGGGACUUGAGUACGGGAGAGGGUAGUGGAAUUCCUAGUGUAGGAGUGAAAUCCGUAGAUAUUCGAAGGAACACCGGUGGCGAAGGCGGCUACCUGGACCGAUACUGACGCUGAGACGCGAAAGCGUGGGGAGC